CGGGUUGUUGCUGGCCCCCAAAAGGGGCACGUGCACGCUCUGUUUACACAUCCACUCACACCUGUGCACCCUCUGUAGUUCUGUGGAUCGGGAGACGUCGUCUUCCUUCUGCGGCUCUACUUCUUUACACACACACUGUAGCGAAGUCUCAUGGAAUGUUUUUUCGCGUUUAACGCAAUACAAUACAACUUUCAGCAACGGAUCUCUUGGCUCUCGCAUCGAUGAAGAACGCAGCGAAAUGCGAUAAGUAAUGUGAAUUGCAGAAUUCAGUGAAUCAUCGAAUCUUUGAACGCACCUUGCGCCCCUUGGUUAUUCCUCGGGGCAUGCCUGUUUGAGUAUCAUGAACAUCUCAACUCUCAUGGUCUUCCGUGAUGAGCUUGGACUUUGGGGGUUUGCUGGCCCUGUGGCCGGCUCCUCUCAAAUGGAUCAGCUUGCCAGUGUUUGGCGGCGUCACGGGUGUGAUAACUAUCUACGCCCGCGGCCGUCUGUCAGGUAACCCUCAGCGAUGAAGGUUCAUUGGGGCUCACAAAUGUCUCUCCCCGGCGAGGACAACUUUUGAACGUUCGAUCUCAAAUCAGGUAGGACUACCCGCUGAACUUAAGCAUAUCAAUAAGCGGAGGAAAAGAAACUAACAAGGAUUCCCCUAGUAACUGCGAGUGAAGCGGGAAGAGCUCAAAUUUAAAAUCUGGCGUGCCUUUGGUCGUCCGAAUUCYAGUCUGGAGAAGCGUUUUCGGCGCUGGACCGUGUAC
rnacentral:rRNA from 1 species